ACCCUAGCUCUAGGUUAUAUAUUCUACGCCCGAUCCGGAGCGAAUCGGCUGAGACCUUAUCGAUAUGCUCAUUAUCAUUAAUAACUUAUGGUUAUUAACAAGUGCUCGUGAAACUGGCAAAUUAUUGUAAGAAUAAACGAUCUUAAAAUGUUCAAGUAUUAAAUACAGGGUAGAUCUAGUUAGAAAUCUUUGAGUGGCGCAGUUCUUCAUAACAUACGAUAUUCACUUUAAAUUGAUCACUACUUUGGGAGACAGGCCUCCUCGCAAGUCUGCCGGAAGCCCCAGCGAUUGUCGUUGCCCCUACAUCCGCCGUAUUUGAAGGUCUCGCAGGUUUUUUUUCUCCUUGUUGUAGUAGAACCGUUCCAGAUUCAUGCGGCAUGGACCCACUUCCAAGGGCUGCAGACACUUCGGAUCUGUAACAUAAGCUCAGUUUAAACAGGAGGGAUAAAGUUGAUCUAACUUAAAACUAAGAGCAAGCUAAAUGUGCUUAUAAUAUUCAUUUCCACCACACUUAGAAUAAAAUCAUUUAAAUUUA